rnacentral:rRNA from 1 species
ACGAACGCUGGCGGCGUGGAUAAGACAUGCAAGUCGAACGGGAGAAUUGCUAGCUUGCUAAUAAUUCUCUAGUGGCGCACGGGUGAGUAACACGUGAGUAACCUGCCUCUUAGUGGGGGAUAGCCCUGGGAAACCGGGAUUAAUACCGCAUACGAUUGAAAGAUCAAAGCAGCAAUGCGCUAGGAGAUGGGCUCGCGGCCUAUUAGUUAGUUGGUGAGGUAACGGCUCACCAAGGCGAUGACGGGUAGCCGGUCUGAGAGGAUGUCCGGCCACACUGGAACUGAGACACGGUCCAGACACCUACGGGUGGCAGCAGUCGAGAAUCAUUCACAAUGGGGGCAACCCUGAUGGUGCGACGCCGCGUGGGGGAAUGAAGGUCUUCGGAUUGUAAACCCCUGUCAUGUGGGAGCAAAUUAAAAAGAUAGUACCACAAGAGGAAGAGACGGCUAACUCUGUGCCAGCAGCCGCGGUAAUACAGAGGUCUCAAGCGUUGUUCGGAAUCACUGGGCGUAAAGCGUGCGUAGGCUGUUUCGUAAGUCGUGUGUGAAAGGCAGGGGCUCAACCCCUGGAUUGCACAUGAUACUGCGAGACUAGAGUAAUGGAGGGGGAACCGGAAUUCUCGGUGUAGCAGUGAAAUGCGUAGAUAUCGAGAGGAACACUCGUGGCGAAGGCGGGUUCCUGGACAUUAACUGACGCUGAGGCACGAAGGCCAGGGGAGCGAAAGGGAUUAGAUACCCCUGUAGUCCUGGCAGUAAACGGUGCACGCUUGGUGUGCGGGGAAUCGACCCCCUGCGUGCCGGAGCUAACGCGUUAAGCGUGCCGCCUGGGGAGUACGGUCGCAAGAUUAAAACUCAAAGAAAUUGACGGGGACCCGCACAAGCGGUGGAGUAUGUGGCUUAAUUCGAUGCAACGCGAAGAACCUUACCUGGGCUUGACAUGUAAUGAACAACAUGUGAAAGCAUGCGACUCUUCGGAGGCGUUACACAGGUGCUGCAUGGCCGUCGUCAGCUCGUGUCGUGAGAUGUUUGGUUAAGUCCAGCAACGAGCGCAACCCCUGUUGCCAGUUACCAGCACGUCAAGGUGGGGACUCUAGCGAGACUGCCCAGAUCAACUGGGAUGAAGGUCGGGACGAAGAUAAGUCAGUAUGGCCCUUAUGCCCAGGGCUGCACACGUACUACAAUGCCCAGUACAGAGGGGGCCGAAGCCGCGAGGCGGAGGAAAUCCUGAAAACUGGGCCCAGUUCGGACUGUAGGCUGCAACCCGCCUACACGAAGCCGGAAUCGCUAGUAAUGGCGCAUCAGCUACGGCGCCGUGAAUACGUUCCCGGGUCUUGUACACACCGCCCGUCACAUCAUGGAAGCCGGUCGCACCCGAAGUAUCUGAAGCCAACCGCAAGGAGGCAGGGUCCUAAGGUGAGACUGGUAACUGGGAUG